AGAGUUUGAUCCUGGCUCAGAACAAACGCUGGCGGCGUGUCUUAAGCAUGCAAGUCGAGCGGCAAGGGCAGCAAUGCCCCUAGAGCGGCGGACUGGUGAGUAACGCGUGGGUGAUCUACCUUGGGCAUGGGGAUAGCCAUUAGAAAUAGUGGGUAAUACCGAAUACGUUCGUUACCGUGAGGGUAACGAGGAAGGGCGCUACGGCGCCGGCCUGGAGAUGAGCUUGCGUCUGAUUAGCUAGUUGGUGAGGUAAUGGCUCACCAAGGCGAUGAUCGGUAGCCGGCCUGAGAGGGUGUACGGCCACACUGGGACUGAGAUACGGCCCAGACUCCUACGGGAGGCAGCAGCUAAGAAUAUUCCGCAAUGGACGAAAGUCUGACGGAGCGACGCCGCGUGGAUGAUGAAGGCCGAAAGGUUGUAAAGUCCUUUUGC
rnacentral:rRNA from 1 species